AAGAAUAAGCAGGGAAAGAAGACCCUGUUGAGCUUGACUCUAGUCUGACUCUGUGAACAGACAUUGAAGGUGUAGCACAGGUGGGAGACCGGUGGCCG
rnacentral:ncRNA from 1 species